rnacentral:rRNA from 1 species
AUUGAACGCUGGCGGUAGGCCUAACACAUGCCAGUCGAACGGCAGCACAGUAAGAGCUUGCUCUUACGGGUGGCGAGUGGCGGACGGGUGAGGAAUACAUCGGAGUCUACUUUUUCGUGGGGGAUAACGUAGGGACACUUACGCUAAUACCGCAUACGACCUACGGGUGAAAGCAGGGGAUCUUCGGACCUUGCGCGAGUGAAUGAGCCGAUGUCGGAUUAGCUAGUUGGCGGGGUAAAGGCCCACCAAGGCGACGAUCCGUAGCUGGUCUGAGAGGAUGAUCAGCCACACUGGAACUGAGACACGGUCCAGACUCCUACGGGAGGCAGCAGUGGGGAAUAUUGGACAAUGGGCGCAAGCCUGAUCCAGCCAUACCGCGUGGGUGAAGAAGGCCUUCGGGUUGUAAAGCCCUUUUGUUGGGAAAGAAAAGCAGCAGGUUAAUACCCCGCUGUUCUGACGGUACCAAAAGAAUAAGCACCGGCUAACUUCGUG